rnacentral:tRNA from 1 species
UCCUUAGUAGCUCAGCGGUAGAGCGGUCGGCUGUUAACCGAUAGGUCGUAGGUUCAAGUCCUACCUGAGGAG